rnacentral:rRNA from 1 species
AAUCAACGCUGGCGGCGUGCCUAACACAUGCAAGUCGAACGCGAAAGCCCCUUCGGGGGUAAGUAGAGUGGCGUCCGGGUGAGUAACACGUAGGUAAUCUACCUUCGGGUGGGGAAUAACCAGUCGAAAGAUUGGCUAAUACCGCAUAAUGCAGCGGCACCUAAUGGUGAUUAGUUGUUAAAGCGGGGGAUCGUAAGACCUCGCGCCUGAAGAGGAGCCUGCGGCAGAUUAGCUAGUUGGGAGGUAAUGGCUCACCAAGGCUUCGAUCUGUAGCUGGUCUGAGAGGACGGCCAGCCACACUGGCACUGACACACGGGCCAGACUCCUACGGAGGCAGCAGUGGGGAAUUUUGGGCAAUGGGCGAAAGCCUGACCCAGCAACGCCGCGUGAGGGAUGACGGCCU